AUGGUUUGGCUUCUCAAUGGUUUUUAUGACACUCAACACCGGGCCUUCUUUAUGUCAGAGAUGAAGAAGUUUCUUCAACCUUUGAAGAUUUGGUCUCACGGUGUCUCUUGUGGUGUCAUGCCCUACGAUGAGCAGUACACACCAUACAUCAGGCAGACAGGACUCCUCCCAUUCAUUCAGCUAGUCAGCCGGUCGACGCCGAACCUCAAUGCUGCAACAAUCACUGUGCUGGUUGAUUGGUGGAGGAUGGAGACACACAACUUCCAUUUAUGGACCGAGGAGAUGACCGUGACGCUCCAAGAUGUCGCCUUGAUCACCAUCUUCCCAUCAAGGGGAAGCCUCUCUGUAUGA
rnacentral:rRNA from 1 species